rnacentral:rRNA from 1 species
AGUGGCGAACGGGUGAGUAAAGUAUCGGAACGUGCCCAGUCGUGGGGGAUAACGUAGCGAAAGUUACGCUAAUACCGCAUACGAUCUAUGGAUGAAAGCGGGGGAUCGCAAGACCUCGCGCGAUUGGAGCGGCCGAUAUCAGAUUAGGUAGUUGGUGGGGUAAAGGCUCACCAAGCCGACGAUCUGUAGCUGGUCUGAGAGGACGACCAGCCACACUGGGACUGAGACACGGCCCAGACUCCUACGGGAGGCAGCAGUGGGGAAUUUUGGACAAUGGGCGCAAGCCUGAUCCAGCCAUGCCGCGUGCAGGAUGAAGGCCUUCGGGUUGUAAACUGCUUUUGUACGGAACGAAAAGGUUUGGCCUAAUCAGCUGAGCUCAUGACGGUACCGUAAGAAUAAGCACCGGCUAACUACGUGCCAGCAGCCGCGGUAAUACGUAGGGUGCGAGCGUUAAUCGGAAUUACUGGGCGUAAAGCGUGCGCAGGCGGUUAUGUAAGACAGAUGUGAAAUCCCCGGGCUCAACCUGGGAACUGCAUUAGUGACUGCAUAGCUGGAGUACGGCAGAGGGGGGAUGGAAUUCCGCGUGUAGCAGUGAAAUGCGUAGAUAUGCGGAGGAACACCGAUGGCGAAGGCAAUCCCCUGGGCCUGUACUGACGCUCAUGCACGAAAGCGUGG